GACCCCGGAGGAACAAUGGGUCAGCGUGUUUGGCUGUUAACCAGAGGGUUGGUGGUCUGAGCCCACCCGGGGACG